rnacentral:rRNA from 1 species
GAUGAACGCUGGCGGCGUGCCUAACACAUGCAAGUCGAGCGGAAAGACGAGGAGCUUGCUCCUUUGGCGUUCGCGGCGCGGGGGUGUGAGACAUGUGUAGAACACCCCUUUAUGACGGGGAACAACUAGGGAAACCGGUGCCUAUAACGGAUAAUCUACUGCACCGCAUGGAUGGAUAGCGAAAGGCGGCUUUGCUGUCUCUGUUCGCAGGUUCCGUGCGGGAUUAGCUGGUUGGUAAGGUAACGGAUUACCAAGGCGACGAUGCGUAGGCGACCUGAGAGGCUGAUCGGCCACACUGGAACUGAGACACGGUCCAGACUCCUACGGGAGGCAGCAGUAGGGAAUCUUGCGCAAUGGGCGAAAGCCUGACGCAGCAACGCCGCGUGUGUGACGAAGGCCUUCGGGUCGUAAAGCUCUUUUAGUGGGGAAGAACAGAUUUGUAAGGAACCAUGCACUUAUUGACGGUACCGGGUCAAGAAGCCACGGCUAACUACGUG